GAUGAACGCUGGCGGCGUGCCUAAUACAUGCAAGUCGAGCGAACAGACGAGGAGCUUGCUCCUCUGACGUUAGCGGCGGACGGGUGAGUAACACGUGGAUAACCUACCUAUAAGACUGGGAUAACUUCGGGAAACCGGAGCUAAUACCGGAUAAUAUAUUGAACCGCAUGGUUCAAUAGUGAAAGACGGUUUUGCUGUCACUUAUAGAUGGAUCCGCGCCGCAUUAGCUAGUUGGUAAGGUAACGGCUUACCAAGGCAACGAUGCGUAGCCGACCUGAGAGGGUAGUCGGCCACACUAGAACUGAGACACGGUCCAGACUCCUACGGGAGGCAGCAGUAGGGAAUCUUCCGCAAUGGGCGAAAGCUUGACGGAGCAACGCCGCGUGAGUGAUGAAGGUCUUCGGAUCGUAAAACUCUGUUAUUAGGGAAGAACAAAUGUGUAAGUAACUAUGCACGUCUUGACGGUACCUAAUCAGAAAGCCACGGCUAACUACGUG
rnacentral:rRNA from 1 species